CACGUAGGCACCAAGCGUUGUCCGGAUUUAUUGGGCGUAAAGAGCUCGUAGGCGGUCUGUCACGUCGGCUGUGAAAACCCGAGGCUCAACCUCGGGCCUGCAGUCGAUACGGGCAAACUAGAGUGUUGCAGGGGAGACUGGAAUUCCUGGUGUAGCGGUGAAAUGCGUAGAUAUCCAAAGGAACACCGGUGGCGAAAGCGGCGCGCUGGACCUCUUCUGACGCUGAGGCGCGAAAGCCAGGGGAGCAAACGGG
rnacentral:rRNA from 1 species